UACAGAGGUCUCAAGCGUUGUUCGGAUUCAUUGGGCGUAAAGGGUGCGUAGGUGGCGCGCUAAGUCAGGUGUGAAAUUUCGGAGCUUAACUCCGGAACUGCAUUUGAUACUGGCGUGCUUGAGGACUGGAGAGGAGACUGGAAUUCAUGGUGUAGCAGUGAAAUGCGUAGAGAUCAUGAGGAAGACCAGUGGCGAAGGCGGGUCUCUGGACAGUUCCUGACACUGAGGCACGAAGGCCAGGGGAGCAAACGGG
rnacentral:rRNA from 1 species